GUAGGACCUGUGGGGGUAAGGUAGUGCCUGUGGGGUUAGGGCCAGUAAGGUAGGGCAUGUGAGGGUGAGGUAGGGCCUGUGGGGUUAGGCCCAGUGAGGUAGGGCCUGUGGGGGUGAGGUAGGGCCUGUGGGGUUAGGCCCAGUGAGGUAGGGCCUGUGGGGGUGAGGUAGGGCCUGUGGGGUUAGGGCCAGUGAGGUAGGGCCUGUGGGGGUAAGGUAGGGCCUGUGGGGUUAGGGCCAGUGAGGUAGGGCAUGUGAGGGUGAGAUAGGGCCUGUGGGGUUAGGCCCAGUGAGGUAGGUACUGUGGGGUUAGGCCCAGUGAGGUAGGGCUUGUGGGGGUGAGGUAGGGCCUGUGGGGUUAGGCCCAGUGAGGUAGGGCCUGUGGGAGUGAGGUAGGGCCUGUGGGGUUUGGCCCAGUGAGGUAGGGCCUGUGGGGGUGAGGUAGGGCCUGUGGGGUUAGGGCCAGUGAGGUAGGGCCUGUGGGGGUAAGGUAGGGCCUGUGGGGUUAGGGCCAGUGAGGUAGGGCAUGUGAGGGUGAGGUAGGGCCUGUGGGGUUAGGCCCAGUGAGGUAGGGCUUGUGGGGGUGAGAUAGGGCCUGUGGGGUUAGGCCCAGUGAGGUAGGUACUGUGGGGUUAGGCCCAGUGAGGUAGGGCUUGUGGGGGUGAGAUAGGGCCUGUGGGGUUAGGCCCAGUGAGGUAGGUACUUUGGGGUUAGGCCCAGUAAGGUAUGGCCUGUGGGGGUGAGGUAGGGCCAGUGGGGUAAGUGCCAGAUGGGUAAGGGCCAGUAGGGUUAUGGGCCAGUGGAGUUAGGACCAGUGGGAUUAUGGGCCAGUGGGGUUAUGGGCCAGUGGUGUUAUGACAAGUGGGAUUAUGGGCCAGUGGUGUUAUGACAAGUGGGAUUAUGGGCCAGUGGGAUUAUGGGCCAGUGGGGUUAUGGGCCAGUAGGGUUAUGGGCCAGUGGGGUUAUGGGCCAGUGGGGUUAGGACCAGUAGGGUUGUGGAGUACUGCUCCUUGAAGGCUCGGUGACCACGCCCUGGUCUGUGUGAAUGUUUUCUACCUUUUUAAGAGGAUAUUGAUGAGGGCUAUAGGCUACUGUGCUCUCUGUUAAAUCAUUCUGACCCUAGCUUUGUAUCUCAGGGGUAGGAUCAUGUUACAGGGAUAGUUAUCUAAUAGUUGGUUGCACCAGAUGUUUUAUGUAAUACCCUCUCUACCCAUGAGAGAGAAAUGAACAUCCCUCCCCAAAAAAGAAAGUACAAAACAGGCUGUGUUUUUAGUUAGUUGGUUUGUUGUGAUUGGCUGUGGC
rnacentral:lncRNA from 1 species